rnacentral:sRNA from 1 species
GCAAUAGAAUAGGCUUUAAAGGGCGGUCGGCUAAUCUCCCAGAAGGGAGGUGAUGCCAUGGAGGUUUAUCAAGCAAUUUCAUUAAUGUUCAUGUUUGGCAUGUUCAUUAUUGCGCUGUUAAACUACCUCAAAAAGAAAUAGACCGCCCUCAGGAAAGGUUUCGGUCUAAUUUCUAAAUCAUCCUGUCAUGCCUAUCGCCCUUAAAAGCGACUAUUGCCAUGGAGUCGUGUGUCCAGCACGGCUC